GUGUCAGCAGCCGCGGUAAGACGGAGGGGGCAAGCGUUGUCCGGACUCACUGGGCGUAAAGCGCACGUAGGCGGUUGGGUGCGUCGCUGCUGAAAGCGCCAGGCUUAACCUGGCGAGGCGUGGCGAUACGACCCGACUCGAGGCAGGCAGAGGGUGGCGGAAUUCCGGGUGUAGUGGUGAAAUGCGUAGAGAUCCGGAGGAACGCCUGUGGCGCAAGCGGCCACCUGGGCCUGACCUGACGCUGAGGUGCGAAAGCGUGGGGAGCGAACCGGAUUAGAAACCCCCGUAGUCC
rnacentral:rRNA from 1 species